rnacentral:misc_RNA from 1 species
AGAUGAAGAACGUAGCGAAAUGCGAUAAGUAAUGCGAAUUGCAGAAUUCAGUGAAUCAUCGAAUCUUUGAACGCACAUUGCGCCCGCCAGCACUCUGGCGGGCAUGCCUGUCCGGGCGUCAUUUACCACCCUCGGGCCCCCUUGGGGGCCCGGUGCUGGGGGCACGGCCCAGGCCGCCCCCGAAAUGCAGUGGCGACCCCGCCGCGUCCUCCCCUGCGCAGUAGCACAAUCUCGCACCGGAAGCGCGGAGGCGGUCACGCCUGGAAACGCCCCAACUCAACGCAGUUGACCUCGGAUCAGGUAGGAGUACCCGCUGAACUUAAGCAUAUCAAUAAGCGGAGGA